UACGUAGGGUGCGAGCGUUAAUCGGAAUUACUGGGCGUAAAGCGUGCGCAGGCGGUUUUGUAAGACAGGCGUGAAAUCCCCGGGCUCAACCUGGGAACUGCGUCCGAUACUGGAUGGCUUGAAUCCGGGAGAGGGAUGCAGAAUUCCAGGUGUAGCGGUGAAAUGCGUAGAUAUCUGGAGGAAUACCGGUGGCGAAGGCGGCAUCCUGGACCGGCAUUGACGCUGAGGAGCGAAAGCCAGGGGAGCAAACGGG
rnacentral:rRNA from 1 species